GCUGAAUAGCUCAGUUGGUUAGAGAGCAUGGUGCUGAUAAUGCCAGGGUUGCAGGUUCGAUCCCCAUAUGGGGCAGCU